UAUGUGUGCUACUGCGCAAGGCUUUUACGUGGGCUCUGGGGAUUUAAACUCCGGGCCUCAUGGCACUGACCCAUCUCCUGCGUUUCUGCUUUUGACACGCCAGCUACACUGCUCCAGGAUUCCCGUGAGCUCUCCUCACCACUGCAGCCCCCAAGGUCACUCAGUCACAGAUUUUCAUUACUUGCUGAAAAAAACAAUGUGCGCUGUACAUCACGCCUGCUCUGGACAAGCCCUUCUCCUCCUCAGCGGUACCACCGAGUCAACCUCACAUAACCUUUCCCAGUCCUGACUAUCCAGCUACUGCAUGCUGUAUAGAAAGAAGACUCAGUCAGUCUGUGGCCCUGAACAGUGACAACCACAGAAAUCGUGGGUCUGUGUGUUAGUGCAGCCCUCGGAUCACCACACCACAGCCACAGGGAUGUAUAGUUAGAGGCAUCCUAGAACCGAAAACGCCGAGGUCAGCCAGAGGGAAUUUCUGAUCAGAGAAUAUACACGGCUGUAGAGAUCCUCACAGCCUAAGACCCUGAUACUCACGGUUGUACCACGUGAUGCUAGGACUCCACUCACUCCAAGUGCCAAGCUGUGAUUAUAGGCAUGGGCCACUAAACCCAGCUCAACUCUACUCCUAUCUAUGCACUUACGACGGGUCGCCAUGAACAACACACAAUAGCAAAUGU
rnacentral:lncRNA from 1 species